AGAAAUACGUCUGACGAAAGAGUUACUUUGAUAGAGUAAAUAAUAGGGGCUUAAAUCCCCUUAUUUCUA
rnacentral:tRNA from 1 species